CCUACGGGUGGCAGCAGUGAGGAAUAUUGGUCAAUGGGCGAGAGCCUGAACCAGCCAAGUCGCGUGAAGGAUGACGGCCCUACGGGUUGUAAACUUCUUUUAUAAAGGAAUAAAGUGAGGCACGUGUGCCUUUAUGUAUGUACUUUAUGAAUAAGGAUCGGCUAACUCCGUGCCAGCAGCCGCCGUAAUACGGAGGAUCCGAGCGUUAUCCGGAUUUCUUGGGGUUAAAGGGAGCGUAGAUGGGUUGUUAAGUCAGUUGUGAAAGUUUGCGGCUCAACCGGAAAAUUGCAAUUGAUACUGGCAGCCUUGAGUUCAGUUGAGGUAGGCGGAACUCGUGGUGUAGCGGUGAAAUGCUUAGAUAUCACGAAGAACUCCGAUUGCGAAGGCAGCCUACUAAACUGCCACUGACAUUGAUGCUCGAAAGUGUGGGUAUCAAACAGGAUUAGAUACCCCUGUAGUC
rnacentral:rRNA from 1 species